AGCAAUCUGAGACUUGUUCUCCUCUUCAAGCAAUAACGCCGCGGCUAUGGAUUUCCUUCUUAUAAUUAUGUUUCUACUUAAAUUAAGAACAAACGACAUUUAAUUUGUAAAUUACAAUGAUGUUAGAUAUAUUUAGUUAUUUUAAAAUAAUUAAAAAUUUUAACUUCAUAAGCUGCUAUAGCUUCGUGGCAAAUAUUUCUUUUGUUUUGUCUCGAUUUCAUACAUUCCUAGGCAACCAGCUGAUUUCGAAGAUGUUUUCGCUCUUCAUCUUCUUCUUUUGAUUCGAUCGUAACUCAGAAUACCAAAUUACGAUUGUUGCGGAGCGGAAUGCGGGAACGUAAUCGAAGUGCAGAAUAGAUCUGAAAAAAAUUUUUUAUACUGUAUGUAUGUAUGUACGUAAGUAUGGCAUUAGUAUUUCACGUCUACGUUUAAACAAAUAUAUGGAAUUAUAUCAAACUAUAACAAUAAUGCAGCUUUUUUCCAUUAUUUUUAAGAUUCAGUGAUUUUAAUUUUUGUUACGACGGCACAAACUCGUAGAGUAUCUGUGCGAAUCUUCAUUAUGAACGGAUUCAAAGAAGGCUCUACGAAUUUCGAAUUUACAUUCGUCUCAAUUCGGAUUCUGUGAUAGCACUUUCGUAGAUUUCACGAAAAGCGAAGCUAUGAUGGAUUCUGUGAAAGCCCUGAAUAAGUUAAGUGCGUGAUUAGUUUUAUGUUGUAGAACUUUUAUUUAAUUCGAUGCGGUUUAUUUCAAAUCAUUGUCCGAUUUAUUGCAUUCAAAAUAAUCAUGACAGGGAUUGAGACAAUAGAAGAAGGAUGCAUGUAUUAGUUAAGUGUGCAUCGGUUACUAUCUUGAAUUUUAACUCUUCUAGGUAAACUCUGAGAUAUUAACCGAUUUGGGCGGGGUUGUUGUAGCCGCUACAACAACAACUUUAUAUCCUAGAUAUUCUACUUCACUAUACGCAAAUUUACAUUUUUGAAGUUUUAUUCGAAGUAUAUAUUCGGUUGAAUGAUUUAAAACCCUUUUAACCAAGUUAUACAGACCUGUUCUGCAAUCCGAGUCGGAAUCGCAUCGGAAUCGGAAUUCAAUUCCGACUCGGAAUGUUGUUCCACAAUCCGAUCGGAACUUUUGUUUCGAAGGUAAUAUCGAAUCCGAUUGUAGAAAAAAAGGAACAAGCCUCCUACUUGUAAUUGCGUUCUGAAGUUUCAAAAUUCAUCUGAAGAAAUUAAAAAGUGAAAACUAAAAUGAAUUCAAUGGUUUUAUUAGCUGUUUUGCUAAAUAAUGAGCAACAAAACAAACAAAUGAAAAAAUGAUGCAAACAAUAUUGCGCGAUCGCAGCAAUCUCAUAUAAUUACCGGACUCUGCGUAAGUAUUAUGCAAACAACUGUUUUCUCUUUUGCUAUUUCAAAGUAUAAUUUUAUAUUUUACAGCUCUCUUGCACUCCUCAAGAUUUUGGGUGACUUGCAGCCUCAUGUACGCAAAAAGUUCCAUUCCUGGGAGCAAAGCGAAUGGACCAACAUCGCUUUGGGAGGGAGCACCGUACCAUUGCCGACGUUACCGACACAAUGUUGUGUGCAUGGAGUCUGUGAUUUAGGUAGCGAUGAUUAACUGGGGAUUAAGUAUCGAGAUGGUGAUCGCCAAAAGUCGUUUUCAGUGUUUAUUAGUAAUCUUGCAGUACAAACUAUGAGAGGUUGUGAAAAUAAUUAAUAAAUGUGUUGCUUGCAUAACAUUAUUCGCCACUACAGUCCUGAAUUUGACUAUGAAGAAGUUGAAGAAAAUGAUAGCGAAGUAUGUAGAUUGUGAAGUAGAUUGAUUUGCACCAACAGAAAUUUAUUUGAAAAGUGAAGUACAAAUAAUUGUAUACAAAAUUACGAAUAAGAUUACCCCUAUUUAAUUAAAUCGAGUUUGGUAAUUAAACAAUAAAUUUACGAAAAAAUAACAUUUUAAGAUUUUUUACUAUUUUCAAAUUCGAAACGCUCUAGCUCCAACUCAAGCUGUCGCAGUUUAAUUUGGUCUUGCAUUUUUUUA